rnacentral:rRNA from 1 species
GCUAAUACCGCAUAAGACCACAGUACCGCAUGGUACAGUGAUCAAAGGAUUUAUUCGCUGAAGGAUGGCUUCGCGUCCGAUUAGGUAGUUGGUGAGGUAACGGCCCACCAAGCCUACGAUCGGUAGCCGGACUGAGAGGUUGAUCGGCCACAUUGGGACUGAGACACGGCCCAGACUCCUACGGGAGGCAGCAUG